AGAGUUUGAUCCUGGCUCAGGAUGAACGCUGGCGGCGUGCCUAACACAUGCAAGUCGAGCGGAAAUAUGGUGAAGUAUCGUACGGAAGGCUAUUUUAGCGGCGGACGGGUGAGUAACACGUGAGCAACCUGCCUUCAGGUGGUGAAUAACAUUGGGAAACCAGUGCUAAUACCGCAUGACAUCACAGGGCGACAUCCUCCUGUGAUCAAAGGAUUUCGAGCCGGACAAAGAUGGGCUCGCGUCCGAUUAGUUAGUUGGUGAGGUAUCGGCUCACUAAGACCGGAUCGAGUUAGCCGAACUGAGAUGUUGAUCGGCCACAUUGGGACUGAGACACGGCCCAGACUCCUACGGGAGGCAGCAGUGGGGAAUAUUGGGCAAUGGGGGAAACCCUGACCCAGCAACGCCGCGUGAAGGACGAAGGCCUUCGGGUUGUAAACUUCUUUGAUCAGGGACGAAACAAAUGACGGUACCUGAAGAACAAGCCACGGCUAACUACGUGCCAGCAGCCGCGGUAAUACGUAGGUGGCGAGCGUUAUCCGGGAUUACUGGGUGUAAAGGGCGUGCAGGCGGGUCAUCAAGUCGGGUGUGAAAUAUUCGGGCUUAACCCGGACAGGUCAUCCGAAACUGGAGAUCUUGAGUGUGGGAGAGGAUAGUGGAAUUCCUGGUGUAGCGGUAAAAUGCGUAGAUAUCAGGAGGAACACCAGUGGCGAAGGCGGCUAUCUGGACAGUAACUGACGCUGAGGCGCGAAAGCGUGGGGAGCAAACAGGAUUAGAUACCCUGGUAGUCCACGCAGUAAACGAUGAAUGUUAGUCGUCGGGUAGCUAGUCUAUUCGGUGAUGCAGCUAACGCAUUAAACAUUCCGCCUGGGGAGUACGGUCGCAAGAUUAAAACUCAAAGGAAUAGACGGGGACCCGCACAAGUGGUGGAGCAUGUGGUUUAAUUCGAAGAUACGCGAAGAACCUUACNUGGCCCUUGACAUAUAUUAGAAUCUUUCAGAUGAUGAGAGAGUGCCUUCGGGAGCUAAUAUACAGGUGCUGCACGGCUGUCGUCAGCUCGUGUCGUGAGAUGUUGGGUUAAGUCCCGCAACGAGCGCAACCCUCGUCACUAGUUACUAACGGUUCGGCCGAGGACUCUAGUGAGACUGCCUUCGCAAGGAGGAGGAAGGUGAGGACGACGUCAAGUCAUCAUGGCCCUUACGGCUAGGGCAACACACGUGCUACAAUGGUUAGGACAAUGAGACGCAAUACCGCGAGGUGGAGCAAAUCUAUAAACCUAAUCUCAGUUCGGAUUGUUCUCUGCAACUCGAGAACAUGAAGCUGGAAUCACUAGUAAUCGUAGAUCAGCUAUGCUACGGUGAAUACGUUCCCGGGUCUUGUACUCACCGCCCGUCACACCAUGGGAGUUGAUUUCACCCGAAGCGGGGAAGCUAAACUGGCUACCCUCCACGGUGGAAUUAGCGACUGGGGUGAAGUCGUAACAAGGUAACC
rnacentral:rRNA from 1 species